rnacentral:rRNA from 1 species
GAUGAACGCUAGCUACAGGCUUAACACAUGCAAGUCGAGGGGUAACGAGAGGAAAGCUUGCUUUCCUUGUCGACGACCGGCGCACGGGUGAGUAACGCGUAUCCAACCUGCCCCCAACUAGGGAAUAACCUUGCGAAAGUAAGACUAAUACCCUAUAAUUUCCUCAGAUGACAUCUGACGAGGAAUAAAGAUUUAUCGGUUGUGGAUGGGGAUGCGUCUGAUUAGCUUGUUGGCGGGGUAACGGCCCACCAAGGCAACGAUCAGUAGGGGUUCUGAGAGGAAGGUCCCCCAAAAUGGAACUGAGACACGGUCCAAACUCCUACGGGAGGCAGCAGUGAGGAAUAUUGGUCAAUGGGCGGAAGCCUGAACCAGCCAAGUAGCGUGCAGGAUGACGGCCCUAUGGGUUGUAAACUGCUUUUAUACAGGAAUAAAGUUAGCCACGUGUGGUUAUUUGUAGGUACUGUAUGAAUAAGGACCGGCUAAUUCCGUGCCAGCCGCCGCGGUAA